ACACUGCUUCGUUCAGACUGGGUCUGCUGCCCACGCUUGGCCUUAAGUAAAAAAAAGGACUUACACAGAGGACUCACUUAAUCCCCAAGAUCAAGCCCCCCUGUCACCGAGACUGAUCUAGAAAGUAAUCAUCAUGUUACCAACUUAGAACGAGUCUCUGCCGACAAGGUUCUGAAGGCAAAACAAAGAUUAAAUUCUUCACAGGAACAGAGUAGACUGACCUCGUCAGGCUCAGUAGCUACCAUGUGUCAAGAACUGUGCUAAAUACAAGAGAUACAAAGG